GAAGUGUGCCCAGCUGUGCAUCAUGUACCAGUUUCACUCCAGAGAUCUUUUCUGAGUCCUGAGCCAUCCAAGAUGUGCUGGGUCGUUGAUGACAACAGUACAGGGGAGGCAACCUCAGUCCAGCUGACUGCCCCAUACCUGGGCACAUAGAAAACCUUGAACCUCCUUGUCUCCAGUGGAAAAAAAAACAAAUCUGGUGCACUGAACCCAUUGUCAUCUACCGAAGGCCACCAGCAAAUCAAGAGCAAAUUUCACCUCCUGAGCCUUAGCCCCUCAAACUCCCAUCUGCUCUCCUGGCCCACAUCUGACUGCACUUUCCUGGCUUGCCUCGCCUGGUCUUGGUGGUAAUCCUGCCUUGAUGGUACCCCCCAGGACUGGUGACUCAGGCCGGAGGAUGGGACUGUCAACUUCCUGGGAGGAUCACUUAGCCAUAAACAGACCAGGCUCUGAGUCACUGGGAGGACUCAGUGAUCUGGAGAUCUGGGAGAGGCUGAUGCUUUUAUUUCAGCUGAGAAGGAAAAUGCUCUGCACAUAUAACAGCCAGUUCAUUGCCUUCUCCCAACAAAACUGAAAGCAGAAAUUGAGCCAUGUGAAAGGGUAGGCCAGGCCUCAUGAAGGUCAUUGUGGCUAUCCUGGAAGGAGGUCUUUCAAGCACUGUGGGCAGGAGCGAAGACCAAGACGCAAAACUCUAUCUUCAAA